rnacentral:rRNA from 1 species
AUUGAACGCUGGCGGCAGGCCUAACACAUGCAAGUCGAGCGGAGCGGCGGGCGGGUGAGUAAUGCCUAGGAAUCUGCCUGGUAGUGGGGGAUAACGUCCGGAAGCAGACGCUAAUCACUACUGCUAUCAGUUGAACCUAGGGCGGAUUGGCUAGUUGGUGGGGUAAAGGCCUACCAAGGCGACGAUCCGUAACUGGCCUGAGAGGAUGAGCAGUCACACUGGAACGGAGACACGGUCCAGACUCCUACGGGAGGCAGCAGUGGGGAAUAUUGGACAAUGGGCGAAAGCCUGAUGCAGCCAUGCCGCGUGUGUGAAGAAGGACUUCGGAGUGUAAAGCACUUGAAGUUGGGAGGCGUUACCAACAGAAUAAGCACCGGCUAACUCCGUGCCAGCAGCCGCGGUAAUAC